AUGUCCACGGUAAUGAACGUUCAGACUUAUAUCCUGAUCUUAUACAACUACAAAUGGAUACUUGAGCUAUGUGGCUCCAGGAUUGCUUUCUCGCAGGGAGUCGAGGAAGGAUCUCUGGGCCUUAAUGUUACAACAUGCUUGUUAAAUUUAAACUACUAUUCUUUACUCUUCUACAUGCUGCAAGAUGCUCGAAGCUGCGUGAAGAUGCUAGUCUUUGAUAGGCUAGGCUUUCCCCCUCUAUUCCGGCAUUCUGCAGUUCAGUCCACAGAUACAACCCUUCCAUUUGAUACAAAUGCAUACUUAGUAUAG
rnacentral:rRNA from 1 species